UGAAACGUGGCUUUUUGAAGACAGCCAUCGUGCAUUCACUAAUGUGCAUUCACUAGUGUACAUUCACUAAUGUGCAUUCACUAAUGUGCAUUCACUAGUGUGCAUUCACUAGUGUGCAUUCACUAGUGUGCAUUCACUAAUGUGCAGCCAAGUUGAAAGGGUGAGAUGCUUUUGCUACAUGGUUGCUUUUAACAGCUUCAGCUCUGGCUCUCUGAUGUUUUUGUUUGGGGGUUCCUAGAUCAUUGAUUGUCUUGUUUUGGUUUUAAUUUUCUGAAGGAAGAGCUCGAUGCUUUCCCCUCCCUGAAUCAGCUGUGCACCUGGUGGACAAGACAACAUUGUUUCUUUGAGCCUGAGUAAAUACUGACCCUCAGUUCACCUCCUGCAUGCUAGAGCCUCUCCUGCCUUCCUCCUUCCUGCUUGCCUUCCUCAUUUCCCCCGGAAGGGGCGGUGCUCAAGCCCAGGGCUUUCAAGGCUGUGAGGCAUGUGUUCUGCUGAUGAGCUACGAUCCUCAACCCCAAAGACGACUUUUUAUAGCAUGCAUCAUACCCUCUAUGGAUCAAGCCAGUAUUAGGUGUCCUGCAUGCUGCCUUGUUCCCUGCCCUGCUAGGGUUUUUCAUGUCUUCCAGUGUUUGUUCUUCUGUGGAACACAGCACUUCCUUCUAGCACUUCAGCACCAGUUAUAGGAAAGGAUUGCUUUCUUUCCUUUUAGGGUUGUUAUGAACACACACAUACACACACACACACACACACACACACACACACACACACCGAGUAAAUUAGGAACUUCAACAUUCAAUGUAGUGGAUGUUUGUCAGGGAGUCUCUAUCUUGACAUAUUGGCAUUCUGAGCUGGGUGUGUCCAGGACAUAUUAUGUAUUAUUUGGUAACAUUGUUGACUUCUAGUCACAAAUCUCAAAUCAUCUCCCCAACCUACGACAACCAAAAGUUCCUCUAGACAUUGCCAUGUAUUCCCUGGGGAGUACCCUCUCUCUCCCACACUGUCUUGGAUAUCUCCAUCCUGCAGCCCCAGCCUCCUGAGUUCAGGGUUUAUAGGCACCCACCACCUCACUUAGAUCACGAUUUACUGUUUACAAACAGUAUUUAAAAAGGUCUUGCAUUUGUUGUGCUGAGGCCUGAAGCCACCCUUGCUACACAGACAUGCAUUUGGCUACUGGAAUUACCUUGGAGUGAGGCUCUUAAUAACUUGAGGCAGCCAUUGACCACAUAGUGAGUUUGAGACUAGCUUUUCUACAUGAGACUUGGGUUUGGUUACAUUUUAGACUUGGGUUUUGAAUCUGGUUAGUAAUCACCGACAGCGUGCCUUCUCUAUAGCUGUGUCAUUGCCUUAUGUCCUGUCAGCUUUUGUGCUUCUGAGUUCAUUUCUACUCAAGUGGCCAUGAGUGGAAACAAGGUGGUCAAACCAGGAGGACAGUUGGUUAAGCAGAGCCUCUAGCAAAUCCAAAUGUUCAGUAUAUAAAAUGUUCUAGAAUUUGGAAAAUAUAUGUUAUUUUCUGGCAUUUCCUCUCUUUCUAACUACCCCACCCUGACCCAAGACUUUUCUUAUUUACAUGGACUUUUCUUAGCUAGAUGGGACUGGGGCCUUCGGACCAGAGACUCUGAACAGACUCUGAAUUGGAGAGAGCACUGUCCAGGAAGAAUUGACUAGGGAGAGCCUUCCCUUCCUGGAGGCUUGAGGUUAUGUUACAGUAUUGUGGAGUUUUGUUGCUGAAAAAUCCUCCUUCUAUUCUCAAGGGCAAGAUUGCCAAAGUGUAACAUGUCAUUGGGUGGGGUGUGGAGGUGUUGUUAAAGCUUUAGAGUUUCAAUAACUCCUUGUUAACUGUACGGGAAUCCCCCACAAUGGAUGUGCACAUACACACCUGUUGCAGGUGAGAAGCAUUCAAUGGUGCUGUAAACGAAAUGUUCUGAAAACUAGAAAUGCCAAUCAGAUGUUUGUGGAAAUUAAACAGAUAACUCAAAGCAGGUGGAUUCCUGG
rnacentral:lncRNA from 1 species